AUUGAACGCUGGCGGCAUGCCCUACACAUGCAAGUCGAACGGUAACGCGGGGCAACCUGGCGACGAGUGGCGAACGGGUGAGUAAUGCAUCGGAACGUGCCCAGUAGUGGGGGAUAGCCCGGCGGAAGCCGGACUAAUACCGCAUACGACCAACGGGUGAAAGCGGGGGACCGCAAGGCCUCGCGCUAUUGGAGCGGCCGAUGUCAGAUUAGGUUGUUGGUGGGGUAAAGGCCUACCAAGCCGACGAUCUGUAGCUGGUCUGAGAGGACGACCAGCCACACUGGGACUGAGACACGGCCCAGACUCCUACGGGAGGCAGCAGUGGGGAAUUUUGGACAAUGGGGGCAACCCUGAUCCAGCCAUGCCGCGUGCGGGAAGAAGGCCUUCGGGUUGUAAACCGCUUUUGUCAGGGAAGAAACGCGCUGAGCUAAUACCUCGGCGUAAUGACGGUACCUGAAGAAUAAGCACCGGCUAACUACGUGCCAGCCGCCGCAGUAAAAC
rnacentral:rRNA from 1 species